UACGGAGGGUGCGAGCGUUGUCCGGAAUCAUUGGGCGUAAAGGGCGCGUAGGUGGCCCGGUCAGUCUUUGGUGAAAGCGCGGGGCUCAACCCUGCGUCGGCCAGGGAUACUGCCGCGGCUCGAGCACUGUAGAGGCAGGCGGAAUUCCGGGUGUAGCGGUGGAAUGCGUAGAGAUCCGGAAGAACACCGGUGGCGAAGGCGGCCUGCUGGACCGACAUUGACGCUGAGGAGCGAAAGCUAGGGGAGCAAACGGG
rnacentral:rRNA from 1 species